UUUAAAGCUUUUUCGUGUGAGAAAGUAGCAGUUUAGGUCCCCGUUGUUCCGCCAGUUUAUCCAAAUAACGCUUGUUUGCACUUUUGCUCCGCCGUGCUGGGAGAAGUGCAGACCAGCCCCACCUGUGGUGGAGCAACUAAAAGAGCCUUAACAUCAUGGAGGAAUUGGAUGAUGUUACUGUUUCAGUUCUAAAUGCUGCCAGCAUAGAUGAGGCCUUACUCCACACCCUCAGUCGGGAUGAUUUAAGAGACCUUUUUCCUGGGCCAGAGAACUUUCUCAGGAGGAAACAACUGUGGGCUCUUAUUAGCCAUGAGGUACGUUUUUGCCUUUUUGGUUCGUCUCUGUCCAUGCCGGGUGU
rnacentral:lncRNA from 1 species